GGUCCAUGCUCCGCCUUGCCCGGCGGUCCUCACUCACUCUGGGAGGGUCCUCUGCCGCCAGGAGCUGCGCUCCCUCAGUCACCUGCCAGCGCUCAGAGGGGACGGCGGCUACCACCCUGCGGCGGUUGGCUGGCUCACAGCGGUGAAGAGUGUCAUCAUUGCCACCAAGCAGGGAUUCAAUAUGACUUCUUUAAUAAUGACCAACCCACGCGUGGAGAAAAUGCUUCUUCGUCUAGGUUACAAGGUCCACACCACAUUUGACUUCUGCACCCUGGAAGAAGGUCUGCUCGACCUGUCCCGCAUGGAUCACAAGCAGUUCAAAAUAAUGACUAAAUACCUGUCACCAAAAUCACAGUUAUAAUCAGGAAACCACAAACAAUGAGAGCUUUUUCAAAGACUUUUACUUAAUUUUUUGUAAUGUUUACAUUACAUGUCAGUCAAAUUUUGUUUCAAUACAACUCUAAACACACAUUAGAACACACACAUAAACACAUAUUCAUGUAAUAUACAUAUACAUACAAGCAAGCACAUACACACACAGGAAGAAAUGGCUAAACUUUCCAUCACCUGAUGCACUAGUUCACUAAGCAGUAAGUAGGUCCCUUUAAGUUAGACAGCUGCAAUAGACUGCAUCCUAGGCAUGUGUGUGUGGGUUUGUACUCCCCUAGUUGUGCUUGGGGGUUAAACUUUGGCUCUUUCGAGUAGUGUAAAAGGAGACAUAUGUUGGGAAAUCUACAAGUGAUUGUUUUGAUUAUUAAUUCAAUAGAUUGUAUUUAAUUAUAUUUAUUACUUGUGAAUGGACUGCGUUUUUAUGAUUUUUGUAUCACCGGUAAAAUUACCUUCAUAUAUUUUUGGGAGGGUUUUUUAAUUAAAUUUAUCACACCCUAAUAAAACAGUUGAUAUAAAUUAUCUGCUAAACUGUAAUUAAAUAGUUAGUAGUAUUUCUGCAACUGUGUUAGUUAUAAUUUAAACUGUCUCGGGUGGUCAUCCAACAUCAGAUUCCCUUGGGCACAUGUACUCCGUACUGGACAGGUAUUAAUGGCGUCUGGGUGGUCUUGGGAUGUACCAGCUCAAUGUUGUUUUAUGCGUGUUGACAAAUUACCUGUAGAGAUGUUACAUAGUAACAUAUGUAUAACUAAAGAUAAAAUUCAUUUAUAAAUAUUAAACCAUCACGAUUAACAUAUUAGUUAAUCAUGAUGGUUUACUCAUGCUGGAUGUGUUUCCCUGCUGCUUGAUGAUAAAUUCCUACACUAAUAAAUGAUCCAAAAAUAUAUGUAAUAAAAUAAAUCGAAAGCUGUACUUUCCAUGGGUUUCAAGGUUUGACAACAAUUAGUGAUUAAUGUGAGUCACUCUACAUUCUGGACUUGCUGGAGUAAUUUUCUGUGUUGAGGGAAGCACGCUCUGUUACAGCUCAAGUUUCACCAACAAAAACUAAGAUGGCUUUUCCCUCCUCCCUACUCACUCUGGAUGUGUCCAUGAACAGUUUAUUUGUUAUUUUGGAGAAUUGGUUUAUUUAGCAUAUUUUAUUACUUAUUAUUAUGGAAUGUAUGAUUAAAUGAGAUAGUUUGUUAAUUGUGUUACCAGUUCUGAGACUGGAGAAUUUUACAAUAAAUUAGCUAGAAACUUU
rnacentral:lncRNA from 1 species